rnacentral:rRNA from 1 species
GACGAACGCUGGCGGCGUGCUUAACACAUGCAAGUCGAACGGAAAGGCCCUGCUUUUGUGGGGUGCUCGAGUGGCGAACGGGUGAGUAACACGUGAGUAACCUGCCCUUGACUUUGGGAUAACUUCAGGAAACUGGGGCUAAUACCGGAUAGGAGCUCCUGCUGCAUGGUGGGGGUUGGAAAGUUUCGGCGGUUGGGGAUGGACUCGCGGCUUAUCAGCUUGUUGGUGGGGUAGUGGCUUACCAAGGCUUUGACGGGUAGCCGGCCUGAGAGGGUGACCGGCCACAUUGGGACUGAGAUACGGCCCAGACUCCUACGGGAGGCAGCAGUGGGGAAUAUUGCACAAUGGGCGGAAGCCUGAUGCAGCAACGCCGCGUGCGGGAUGACGGCCUUCGGGUUGUAAACCGCUUUCGCCUGUGACGAAGCGUGAGUGACGGUAAUGGGUAAAGAAGCACCGGCUAACUACGUGCCAGCAGCCGCGGUGAUACGUAGGGUGCGAGCGUUGUCCGGAUUUAUUGGGCGUAAAGGGCUCGUAGGUGGUUGAUCGCGUCGGAAGUGUAAUCUUGGGGCUUAACCCUGAGCGUGCUUUCGAUACGGGUUGACUUGAGGAAGGUAGGGGAGAAUGGAAUUCCUGGUGGAGCGGUGGAAUGCGCAGAUAUCAGGAGGAACACCAGUGGCGAAGGCGGUUCUCUGGGCCUUUCCUGACGCUGAGGACCGAAAGCGUGGGGAGCGAACAGGCUUAGAUACCCUGGUAGUCCACGCUGUAAACGGUGGGUACUAGGUGUGGGGUCCAUUCCACGGGUUCCGUGCCGUAGCUAACGCUUUAAGUACCCCGCCUGGGGAGUACGGCCGCAAGGCUAAAACUCAAAGGAAUUGACGGGGCCCCGCACAAGCGGCGGAGCAUGCGGAUUAAUUCGAUGCAACGCGUAGAACCUUACCUGGGUUUGACAUGGAUCGGGAGUGCUCAGAGAUGGGUGUGCCUCUUUUGGGGUCGGUUCACAGGUGGUGCAUGCCUGUCGUCAGCUCGUGUCGUGAGAUGUUGGGUUAAGUCCCGCAACGAGCGCAACCCUUGUUCACUGUUGCCAGCACGUUAUGGUGGGGACUCAGUGGAGACCGCCGGGGUCAACUCGGAGGAAGGUGGGGAUGACGUCAAGUCCUCAUGCCCCUUAUGUCCAGGGCUUCACGCAUGCUACAAUGGCUGGUACAGAGAGUGGCGAGCCUGUGAGGGUGAGCGAAUCUCGGAAAGCCGGUCUCAGUUCGGAUUGGGGUCUGCAACUCGACCUCAUGAAGUCGGAGUCGCUAGUAAUCGCAGAUCAGCAACGCUGCGGUGAAUACGUUCCCGGG